UACGGAGGGUGCAAGCGUUAUCCGGAUUCACUGGGUUUAAAGGGUGCGUAGGAGGGCAGGUAAGUCAGUGGUGAAAUCUCCAAGCUUAACUUGGAAACUGCCGUUGAUACUAUCUGUCUUGAAUACCGUGGAGGUGAGCGGAAUAUGUCAUGUAGCGGUGAAAUGCUUAGAUAUGACAUAGAACACCAAUUGCGAAGGCAGCUCGCUACACGAAUAUUGACUCUGAGGCACGAAAGCGUGGGGAUCAAACAGGAUUAGAC
rnacentral:rRNA from 1 species